rnacentral:rRNA from 1 species
UACAGAGGUCUCGAGCGUUGUCCGGAUUCAUUGGGCGUAAAGAGCUCGUAGGCGGUUCAGUAAGUCGGGUGUGAAAGCUCCGAGCUCAACUCGGAGAGGCCACCCGAUACUGCUGUGACUUGAGUCCAGUAGAGGAGCGUGGAAUUCCUGGUGUAGCGGUGAAAUGCGCAGAUAUCAGGAGGAACACCGGUGGCGAAGGCGGGUCUCUGGGCCGAUACUGACGCUGAGGAGCGAAAGCGUGGGGAGCGAACAGG